UACGUAGGCAGCGAGCGUUGUUCGGAGUUACUGGGCGUAAAGCGUGCGUAGGCGGUGCUCCAAGUCUGUUGUGAAAUCUCCCGGCUUAACCGGGAGGGUGCGGCGGAAACUGGGGUGCUGGAGUGUGGGAGAGGUAAGCGGAAUUCUCGGUGUAGCGGUGAAAUGCGUAGAUAUCGAGAGGAACACCUGCGGCGAAGGCGGGUUGCUGGGCCGACACUGACGCUGAUGCGCGAAAGCCAGGGGAGCGAACGGG
rnacentral:rRNA from 1 species